rnacentral:rRNA from 1 species
GAUGAACGCUGGCGGCGUGCCUAAUACAUGCAAGUCGAGCGAACAGACGAGGAGCUUGCUCCUCUGGCGUUAGCGGCGGACGGGUGAGUAACACGUGGAUAACCUACCUAUAAGACUGGGAUAACUUCGGGAAACCGGAGCUAAUACCGGAUAAUAUAUUGAACCGCAUGGUUCAAUAGUGAAAGACGGUUUUGCUGUCACUUAUAGAUGGAUCCGCGCCGCAUUAGCUAGUUGGUAAGGUAACGGCUUACCAAGGCAACGAUGCGUAGCCGACCUGAGAGGGUGAUCGGCCACACUGGAACUGAGACACGGUCCAGACUCCUACGGGAGGCAGCAGUAGGGAAUCUUCCGCAAUGGGCGAAAGCCUGACGGAGCAACGCCGCGUGAGUGAUGAAGGUCUUCGGAUCGUAAAACUCUGUUAUUAGGGAAGAACAAAUGUGUAAGUAACUAUGCACGUCUUGACGGUACCUAAUCAGAAAGCCACGGCUAACUACGUG